rnacentral:rRNA from 1 species
GUAGGUGGCAAGCGUUGUCCGGAAUUAUUGGGCGUAAAGCGCGCGCAGGCGGUUCUUUAAGUCUGAUGUGAAAGCCCACGGCUCAACCGUGGAGGGUCAUUGGAAACUGGAGAACUUGAGUACAGAAGAGGAAAGCGGAAUUCCACGUGUAGCGGUGAAAUGCGUAGAGAUGUGGAGGAACACCGGUGGCGAAGGCGGCUUUCUGGUCUGUAACUGACGCUGAGGCGCGAAAGCGUGGGGAGCAAACAGGAUUAGAUACCCUGGUAGUCCACGCCGUAAACGAUGAGUGCUAAGUGUUAGGGGGUUUCCCGCCCCCCUUAGUGCUGCAGCUAACGCAUUAAGCACUCCGCCUGGGGAGUACGGCCGCAAGGCUG